GAAGCAGGUGUGAGAAAUCUGGACGUGAAAUCGGAAUUGCACACAUUUCAACGCACCAACGCAGCCACACGGCUGCAGGCGCUCUGCAGGCUGCGUAUCAUCUGAAAACACCUCAAGGACGAGAUUUUCCGAAACUGUGGCCGAGAUUUAUUACGAAGCAGCUAUAAUUACCGUGCCGGCCAGGAGGGGCUCCGAGAGCAAAACCUAACGCGACACAACACACUUUCCAAGUUUCCCGGAGCGUUUCAACACUGCAAACGGUUCCUCCCAAACAGUCCCGGCGCGGGCACGGCGCGGCUCCUCGGGCUGCGGGCGUCGGGUGGCCGACAGAAGGAUCCCUCCGUGCCUCCCGAACACGUCCAGGGAUGCGUCCCGCACCCGCACACCCUCCCCGGGCCCGGUUUAAUUGCGGCGUUUUGCUCCGCCGUUAAACGUGUGGCUGCUUUCGGGGGAAAUGACGACGUGGUGAAUUCCUGCAGUGCAGCGGCACGGUGCAUUUCCGUCCCUGAGCGACGCCGGGAGCACCCAACGCGGCACUGCAGCUUCCGAUUGCGCGUUUUGAAAGUGCGGAGGAGAUAUACGGUAUAGAUACACACAUUCUGAAAGAAUAUAUUUACAAGUACGUUCUGUAGAGAGAAACACGGGGACGGACAAGCACAUAUACACACGUAGGCAAUGUAGAUCCGGGUAUACACACCCGUAUAUAAGCAAUGCGGUAUAGGAUCUAUGCGCAUAUGCAGGCAAUGUGGAUAACGUCUACGUGAUCGUUCUAUCUCCUCUGCACAUUUCAAACCAAACCUGUUUUAUCGAGUGCUCGCCCACGGUUUAGCCAGCCGGGCUAUCUGCCCGCUGCUCCGCUCCUCCUCUCCGCGCUGCCCCGCCGGGAGCAGCCGGGCCCGGAGCCUCUCGCUGUGCCCCGCGGGGCGGGCGCGCCCGCGGCUGCGGGAUCAGGGAUCGGGCGGGAGCUGCCGAGGCAGGACGGGGCUCGGCUCUCCGGGGCCGCCCGCGUCCUCCGCCCCCGGCGCUGCCGCUCAGACACCUGUUAGGUGUGAAGUUACACGAGCGCCCUUCCGCUAUGCGAAAACGCGGUGCGCAAACACGGCGCAGCGCUUCAGCCUGCGGGGAAACCAAACCGCGGCGAAGGGGCACUUAACGGGAGAACCGCGGUGCCUCCGCGCCCCGAUCCUCAGCCUUCCGCCGCUCUGCGCGGGGCCGGGGCUCUCCCCGCAGCCUCCUCCGCGCCGCCCCGAGCGGCAGCCUCCGUCCGCGCUAAUCACACCAAGAGCCGGCGCAACGGCAGCCCCGAUAACGGCCGCGCUAACGGUCCCGCAGCUGCACCGCGCAGCGCUGGGUGCUCCGAGGGACAGGUGACCGAGCGGGGCCGGAGCUCCGCCCGCGGGAGCGCAGUGCCGGGGGCAGCCGAACGCUUACCGGUGGGCGGCAGCGCCCGCGUGCCGAAGAGCCGGGGACGAUCGCUGUAAUCCAUUUUGCGCCCGCGUAGCAAUCCGGGGGGCAGCUGCGAGCGGCUCCGCGCAGCGCCGCGGGAGGAGAGGCGUCGCGGGGCCGCGGAGCGCCGGGGUUCGGGGAGCGCCGCGCCGACAUCGCGGCGGCUGCCAUACACCUCAGCCAGACAAAGGUUAGGAAAAGAGGGGCUGAGACUCUCUGAAGGCAGAAUGCAGGGGGAAAUUCGCCAGGGAAAUCAGGAAAAGGCCAUGAAAGCGCUCGCUGCCUGCACAUGACCAGCCGCAGCCAAUGACGAGCCCAAAUAGGUCAUAAAAAGGUCUAUUACCAAGUUGUAAAUUUUCUUCAAACAAAAAGGAAUUUACUGCAAUUCCUUGCGGAUUUUGCACAUACUGCUUCCCAGCGCCAUGUUUCUUUCGCCUGCGCGCUGCGCUCGUGUUUUUCACUCUCUGCCCCCGCGGCCUGCGCGCCCCGAGCGGCUGUCGGGGCCCCGCGGGCGGGGAGCUCCGGAGAGAGAGGAGCGCUGAGCCGCACUCCGGGUGGGGGAACCCCGCUUAACGGCCCCUCGGCGCCGUGCCCGCGGGUCCUGUCCUUGCCUUAACGAAAGGGGCUUCGGACCGCGUUACCCACAGCCGGGCCCUACGAGAAAACGUGUUUCCUGUAGCGCCCACUACUGAAGCCGAAACCGUCAGUGCCCUAAAGGCAGUCCGAACCGAGCUGAUGCCGCAGCCCGCCCCGCAGUUCGGGGUCCCGCGGGUCGCGCUGCCGUCGAGCCCCGGCGCGAUGCAUCCGCGGGGCCGCGUGGAACCCGGGAGCUCAAAAAGCGCUCGGAAAGGGCUACGGCUGCCCCGCGUCACGGAGAGCGGCGAACGAAUACCGCGGCUCUCGCUCGAUUUCUGUUCAGAGAACAGCCAGAGCCCUCUGUCUGUGCCCCGCGCGUUGAUCGAACCUGCCGGGAAAGAAAAUAAAAACCAAGCUAACAAAAAAACCCAAACUGCGCUAACGACGUGGGGUCUCUGUCACACCGCUGCAGGGGAUCACACGCCCUCGGAUGAGGCGCCCGCUGGGCCGAGGCACCGCCACCUCCGCGGCCCCGCGCAGCUCCGUUUCUCCCUGCACGGCGCCGAGGGCGCGUUGGGCAACCGCUGCCUCGCUUCGCUUUUCCUGAGAAGGACCCUAAACGAAAGCGAAGGGGAGAUGGAGCUGCCAGCUACGGGCGGGGAAUAUCUUCAUCAGUUCACAACAAGGCUUUUUUUUGUGUGUGGUUUUUUUUGGUUUGUUUUCCUCCUUUUCUAACUAAAUGUAAAAGAGAGAGAGAGAGAGAGAGAGAGAAGGGGAAGUUCCCCGUUAGGACGAGGCCUUUGCAAACGCUGUGCGCACCGGGGCGUUGGUUUGUGUGCGUGGCUGCUUUCCCAGCCGGCCCUGGGAGGGCAACGCUAACGGAAACUUCGUCAGGAAUAUUUUAAUUUCGUUCCCUUUGUCUGGAAAUGAAAAACAACGUCGGCAGCGGCUCUUUCCCGGACGAAUACCGGCUCGGGAAAUGCUCCGCCGGGCCGUGACGGCUCCGCUGCGCUCUUCCCGGGGCAGCGGCAGAAGGAGGCCCGGCGCGGGGCUGCAGUCGGGCCCCGGAGCCGCAUCGCUCCCGGCCACCGGGCCACCGCUGCGCAUACGCAAAAGCGUGCAGCAAAACGGUGCCUUCUCGGCUUUGCCGCGGUUUCCACGCGUUUGCAAGCUUUAAUCGGUUACGUGAUUAAAACAAACCAGAACAAUGGCUCCGCUCGGUUCUGCCUCCCUCCCGAGCUGCAGCUUCGCUGGAGCUGAGCCGAGCGCGGCUGCCGGCUGGGAGCAGAGGGGUAGCUGCACGAACCCACCCCGCACACCGAGCCCCCGCACACCGUCCCCUCCUGUCGGGCGGCUCCCGGCCGUGGGGAUGCGGGACGAGGCCGCGGCACAUCUCGGGGCCUUCGCGAGCGGCUUCGGGAGGACGGGGCCGGAGGGAUCCCGCUCCGACGGCAGCGCCGCUGCUUUCGGGGGCACAUAAUGGGAGUCGAGUCGGUCGCAUUCACCGCACCGCGUCCUGCGGGGCCUUCAGCGAACAUCGCACAAUGGAGGCGUGAGAAGGGGGGGGGAAAAAUGCGCAGACAUUUUUGUAAGGCUUCGUACCGUGUUCCCGCUGCCCCUAAACGGGCUGCCCCCGCCGCCCUGCCCUACGGCUUGAAAAAACGCCCCGAAACAGUGCCAAGAUAUUUAUUGCUGAAACGUCCUUUUCUGCAAUGGGACCACGAGCCACUUUGCCCGAGAUCCGUGGGGGAGGCUGGAGCCGGCCCGGCGCUCACGGACCCGCAGAGCGGGGGGCACCGCACGGUAGGGCCGCGGCGGAGCCCCUCGGUGAGGAUGGAGGCAAAAAGCUGCGAGGCCCAAGCACGCAUAUAGCGUGGUCCCAGCGCCGGGGAGCAGGGGCUCUCCCACGGAGGAAGCUCGGUCAGGGGGCCCUGGCACCCCGCGUCCCCUCGUCAGGGUGCGUCGGGACCCGGCUGGGACUGGGGGCCCCCUCAGGUUUUGUCUCAAGUGGGCCGUUUCGAGAUCCUCCCCCGCCCAAAUAGGCGCUAGGAACGGAGGAGAGGGCAGAUGCGGAGGUACGAGAGUUUAUCGGAGGAGCAGAUUACAGAAAGGAUGCCAGGAAACCGAUAGAUUUUAUAUUUGAAUAAUUAUGAUUUAUUUAAAUCAAAUAUCGAUAGUAGAAAGUUUGAUAUAUUUCUAAGAUUUGCUCUUCAAAAUUUAUUAAAUUUCCUUAAUUUAUUCGAGAUUAGAAAAUAACAAGAAUUAAAAUAGUACAAGUGCACUUGUUUGAUUAAUAAAGCAUUGGUACAUGUCUCGCUUA